rnacentral:rRNA from 1 species
CCUACGGGUGGCAGCAGUGAGGAAUAUUGGUCAAUGGACGUAAGGCUGAACCAGCCAAGUAGCGUGCAGGAAGAAGGAUCUAUGGUUUGUAAACUUCUUUUAUAGGGGAAUAAAGGUAUCCACGUGUGGAUAUUUGCAUGUACCCUAUGAAUAAGCAUCGGCUAAGUCCGUGCCAGCAGCCGCGGUAAUACGGAGGGUGCGAGCGUUAUCCUGAUUUAUUGGGUUUAAAGGGUGCGUAGGUUGUUUUUUAAGUCAGCGGUGAAAUGUUGUGGCUCAACCAUAGAAUUGCCGGUGGAAAUGGAAGACUUGAGUGUGCUAGAGGUAGGCGGAAUGCGUGGUGUAGCGGUGAAAUGCAUAGAUAGCACGCAGAACUCCGAUUGCGAAGGCAGCCUACCAAGCCAUUACUGACACUGAAGCACGAAAGCGUGGGGAUCAAACAGGAUUAGAUACCCCAGUAGUC